rfam:Callipepla squamata strain Texas jcf7180005233367, whole genome shotgun sequence.
GCCUGGGGCAGUACACCUGUCAAAGUGUAAUGCAGGUGUCCUAAGGCCAGCUCAGGGAGGCCAGAAACCUCCCACGGAGCAGAAGGGCAAAAGCUUGCUUGGUUUUGAUUUUCAGUACAAACACAGACCAUGAAAGAGGGGCCUCAAGAUCCUUCUGACUUUUCACAUGUAAUAUGAU